AACGAACGCUGGCGGCAUGCCUAACACAUGCAAGUCGAACGAGACCUUCGGGUCUAGUGGCGCACGGGUGCGUAACGCGUGGGAACCUGCCCUUAGGUUCGGAAUAACUCCCCGAAAGGGGUGCUAAUACCGGAUAAUGUCUUCGGACCAAAGAUUUAUCGCCUUUGGAUGGGCCCGCGUUGGAUUAGCUAGUUGGUAGGGUAAAAGCCUACCAAGGCGACGAUCCAUAGCUGGUCUGAGAGGAUGAUCAGCCACACUGGGACUGAGACACGGUCCAGACUCCUACGGGAGGCAGCAGUGGGGAAUAUUGGACAAUGGGCGAAAGCCUGAUCCAGCAAUGCCGCGUGAGUGAUGAAGGCCUUAGGGUUGUAAAGCUCUUUUACCCGGGAUGAUAAUGACAGUACCGGGAGAAUAAGCUCCGGCUAACUCCGU
rnacentral:rRNA from 1 species